rnacentral:rRNA from 1 species
UACGUAGAAGACUAGUGUUAUUCAUCUUUAGUAGGUUUAAAGGGUACCUAGACGGUAUAACUAGCCCAAAACAGGGUACAGUUUUACUAGAGUUUUAUAUGAGAAGGGGAGUAUUUAUGGAGUAGAGAUAAAAUUCUUUGAUCCCAUAACGACUGGUAGCGGCGAAAGCAACCUUCUAUCUAAUAACUGACGUUGAGGGACGAAGGCCUGGGUAGCAAACAGG